AGCCCAGCUUGAGAAUCGGGCGGCUGUGCCGUCCGAAUUGUAGUCUGGAGAGGCGUCCUCAGCGACGGACCGGGCCCAAGUCCCCUGGAAAGGGGCGCCUGGGAGGGUGAGAGCCCCGUCCAGCCCAGACCCUAUCGCCCCACGAGGCACCGUCAACAAGUCGGGUUGUUUGGGAAUGCAGCCCAAAUCGGGCGGUAGACUUCGUCCUAGGCUAAAUACAGGCGAGAGACCGAUAGCGAACAAGUACCGCGAGG
rnacentral:ncRNA from 1 species